rnacentral:tRNA from 1 species
GGAGGAGUAGCGAAGUGGUCAUAACGCGACGCACUCGAAAUGCGUUUGAUGGAUUACCGUCACGGAGGUUCGAAUCCUCUCUCCUCCGCCA